rnacentral:rRNA from 1 species
UACGUAGGGUGCAAGCGUUAAUCGGAAUUACUGGGCGUAAAGCGUGCGCAGGCGGUGAUGUAAGACAGAUGUGAAAUCCCCGGGCUCAACCUGGGAACUGCAUUUGUGACUGCAUCGCUGGAGUGCGGCAGAGGGGAUGGAAUUCCGCGUGUAGCAGUGAAAUGCGUAGAUAUGCGGAGGAACACCGAUGGCGAAGGCAAUCCCCUGGGCCUGCACUGACGCUCAUGCACGAAAGCGUGGGAGCAAACAGG